UACGGAGGGUGCAAGCGUUAUCCGGAUUCACUGGGUUUAAAGGGUGCGUAAGCGGAUAGGUAAGUCCGUGGUGAAAUCCUGCAGCUUAACUGCAGAACUACCGUGGAUACUAUCUAUCUUGAAUAUCGUGGAGGUUAGCGGAAUAUGUCAUGUAGCGGUGAAAUGCUUAGAUAUGACAUAGAACACCCAUUGCGAAGGCAGCUAACUACGCGAUCAUUGACGCUGAUGCACGAAAGCGUGGGGAUCAAACAGG
rnacentral:rRNA from 1 species